GAUGAAGAACGUAGCGAACUGCGAUAAGUAAUGUGAAUUGCAGAAUUCAGUAAAUCAUCGAGUCUUUGAACGCACAUUGCGCCCCCUGGCAUUCCGGGGGGCAUGCCUGUCCGAGCGUCAUUGCUGCCCUUCAAGCCCGGCUUGUGUGUUGGGUCGUCGUCCCCCCCGGGGGACGGGCCCGAAAGGCAGCGGCGGCACCGCGUCCGGUCCUCGAGCGUAUGGGGCUUUGUCACCCGCUCGAUUAGGGCCGGCCGGGCGCCAGCCGGCGUCUCCAACCUUCUAUUUUACCAGGUUGACCUCGGAUCAGGUAGGGAUACCCGCUGAACUUAAGCAUAUCAAUAAGCGGAGGA
rnacentral:misc_RNA from 1 species